UACAGAGGUCUCAAGCGUUGUUCGGAUUCAUUGGGCGUAAAGGGUGCGUAGGUGGUGAUGCAAGUCUGGUGUGAAAUCUCGGAGCUCAACUCCGAAAUUGCACCGGAUACUGCGUGACUCGAGGACUGUAGAGGAGAUCGGAAUUCACGGUGUAGCAGUGAAAUGCGUAGAUAUCGUGAGGAAGACCAGUUGCGAAGGCGGAUCUCUGGGCCUGUCCUGACGCUCAGGCGCGAAAGCUAGGGGAGCAAACAGG
rnacentral:rRNA from 1 species